rnacentral:rRNA from 1 species
UACGUAGGGGGCAAGCGUUGUCCGGAAUCAUUGGGCGUAAAGCGCGCGUAGGCGGCCCGGUAAGUCCGCUGUGAAAGUCCAGGGCUCAACCUCGAGACGUCGGCGGAAACCAUCUGGCUAGAGUCCGGAAGAGGAGAGUGGAAUUCCUGGUGUAGCGGUGAAAUGCGCAGAUAUCAGGAAGAACACCCGUGGCGAAGGCGGCUCUCUGGGACGGUACUGACGCUGAGACGCGAAAGCGUGGGGAGCGAACAGG